UGGGGAAUUUUGGACGAAUUGGGGGCAACCCGUCGAUCCAGCAAUGCCGCGUGUGUGAAGAAGGCCUUCGGGUUGUAAAGCACUUUUGUCCGGAAAGAAAACGCCGUGGUUAAUACCCGUGGCGGAUGACGGUACCGGAAGAAUAAGCACCGGCUAACUACGUGCCAGCAGCCGCGGUAAUACGUAGGGUGCAAGCGUUAAUCGGAAUUACUGGGCGUAAAGCGUGCGCAGGCGGUCCGCUAAGACAGAUGUGAAAUCCCCGGGCUUAACCUGGGAACUGCAUUUGUGACUGGCGGGCUAGAGUAUGGCAGAGGGGGGUAGAAUUCCACGUGUAGCAGUGAAAUGCGUAGAGAUGUGGAGGAAUACCGAUGGCGAAGGCAGCCCCCUGGGCCAAUACUGACGCUCAUGCACGAAAGCGUGGGGGAGCAAACAGGAUUAGAUACCCUGGUA
rnacentral:rRNA from 1 species